AGCGAACGCUGGCGGCAGGCCUAACACAUGCAAGUCGAACGAACCUUUCGGGGUUAGUGGCGGACGGGUGAGUAACACGUGGGAACGUGCCUUUAGGUUCGGAAUAACUCAGGGAAACUUGUGCUAAUACCGAAUGUGCCCUUCGGGGGAAAGAUUAAUCGCCUUUAGAGCGGCCCGCGUCUGAUUAGCUAGUUGGUUGAGGUAAUGGCUCACCAAGGCGACGAUCAGUAGCUGGUCUGAGAGGAUGAUCAGCCACAUUGGGACUGAGACACGGCCCAAACUCCUACGGGAAGCAGCAGUGGGGAAUCUCGCGCAAUGGGCGAAAGCCUGACGCAGCCAUGCCGCGUGAAUGAUGAAGGUCUUAGGAUUGUAAAAUUCUUUCACCGGGGACGAUAAUGACGGUACCCGGAGAAGAAGCCCCGGCUAACUUCGUG
rnacentral:rRNA from 1 species